GGGAGAUCAGAUGAGGAAAUAAUUGCCUAGGGGAAUCCAGAAAGUCUUUGCAGAAGAGGAAAAAUUGAUUUCACAAGAUGGGAACAAGCUUGCUAAAAGAGUAAGGGAAACUGUAGACUGAUUUUUUCAGAUGUGUGGUGAUAUAGAUCCCUUUCCUAGCCAUCAGGGAUGAACAAUGAUUGGGUCAUUGUAUCAUGUCUUUUUAAGUGAUGGCUUAGAGAUGGAUAUACGACCCGUUCUGGCCAAUGGCACCUGAAUUGACAUUUUCUGGGGGCUUCUGGGUACGAUUUUCCUUUUGGUGGAAAGGCAAAUAUGCAUAAGGAGAAGUGUUUCUCUCCUCAUUCCAGCUUUGGACAUUAUCAUGUGCAUGUGAGAAUAUAACUCUGGGAACCACUGUAGCCAUCUUGAGAUCAUGAGGGAGGAGCCAAGACAAUUGCAGAGACCAACUCAACUAUUUCUGAAUAGUUGAGCUUCAGAAUCAACUUUGAACUUACCAUCUCUGGGUUGUGUGAUAUAUUAGAAAAAUAAGCCAUAAUUUUUGAGCCAGUUGUUGUCAGGUAUUCAGUUAAUCCCCAAACACCAAAGCACAAACAACUAACUACAUAUUCCCAUUUUAUAGGUUUGGUCACUGAGGUGUAGGAGGCCAAAUCAUUGAUUCAAGGUCUUACUGAUAUUGAGCAGGGAAGGAAAACCAGGUCUAUUGAAAAUCCCAAGCCCAGUCUCUGUGUCUUGUUAAAAAAAAAAAGUUAAAAAAUAUCUUUUCUCUUCCCCAGGUAUUGGACUCUGUUUCAUUCACCUCCCCUCCCGAACACCCCAGGAAGUUUUAGAAUCUGCCUCUGGUUAAGCACCAGGGUAAGGCAGCAGUUCAAAAACACAUGGAUGCUCCAUUAACCAACUUUACUAUAUAAUAGGCACUAAUAUACUGCCUCGCACCUUCUGCCUAAUCUCAGGCCUGGAGUCAACAGAGCCAAAGGGAAAUCUCCUUGGACAGGACUUUCCUGAUCCCCCCUCCCCUUUAUUACACUAUAUGAUGUAAGGGGAGAUGGUACAGGUUUCAAGUAAGUGCUAAAGAACUUGGAAACAGAAAUUCUGAAAUUGAAGGAAACCUACAUGGUAUCUGGAAGGAUCCCCAGAUCCUUUCUAAGAUGAAGGGCGGUGAAGUCCAUGCUCAUUCCAGACCCUGAGGGGUUUGAUAUGGGAGGAAAGGCAACUCUGACUGGAAUCAGUGAACACUUUUGGUUGUCUACAUAAAACUCUGAGUCACAAGAACCCCCAUUAAACUUCCUUGAAGUGAGGUGAACUGGACUGGUCUUUUAGUGCAGUUCCAGAUGCCGGCUGUGGGCAAACUGAUGAAACUGCCCCCUUACCAAGGAUGUGAUUGAACAAGACCUGGGACCUGAAAAAAAAUCUUGCAAUUACACUUUUCUACCACUAGAUGAUAUGCACGUAUAAGCAAGAUGAAAACCCUCCUGUGUUUUCUUGCUGCAUCAGUGGCCGCAGUGAUGAUAGGGGCCAUUAAACUACUACUGCCUAUGGGCCAAAUCUGGUUUUCUGCCUCUCUGUAUAAAUAAAGUUUUAUUGGAACACAGCCAUGCUCAUUUGUCUGGGACUGAUUUUGCUCUACAAUGACAGUGAUAAAGAAAGUGACUAAAGACACAUUGACUCCUGGCACACACAUGAAAUGACUGUAGCAGGCCUACACGAUGGAGAACGUAAGUAUUGGCGUACCCCAUGCUUGAUACUGUUGUGUAACCAAGAGGCAUGACAGUUGGCUUCAAAGCUGUGGGCACCUAGAAAGAAAAAAUUAUUGCUAGACUGGACCAGCCUUCUGUGUGGUCCCCGGGUAGAAGUAUAUCUGGGAUGGAAUAGCUGCCCAGGAGCCCUCUGGGCAGCUAAAAAAAGUGAUGCUCAUUCAGCACAUAUUUUAAGAAACUAUUUUGACACAAUAGUUCAUAAGGCUGAAGAUGAUUCGUCAGAUGGAACAGUGUUUACAUUGGGACUGAAACAUCAGUGGGCAAGUGGGGAGACACAGAGAGAAGGUAGUCAAAGGAAGCCUUCUUUUUAAUGUCCUCAUUUUCCCCAAAGUGGGGGUGUCUUUGUUCCUCCAGUGCUGGGUGUGACUGGGCCUUCAGCAUAUCUGCUGGGGGUGUUGGAAGCUGGCAGUGGAGCUGGGGAGCAGGGUGGUACUCAGCUUUAUCAUUUCCUAGAUCCCUAGUCGUUGUCAGGGAUGUCCUUCAGACUAGUUUACGAUGUGCAGUGAUGUACGGGGUGGUUCAUUCCACAUUCGUGAUUACUGUUCUUUUUUCCUUUUUCCUUCUGAAGAAUUUGGGUAAUUAAUUGCCUCAGAGUCAUACAUCACAUGGAGAAGAUGGGGAUAAUGAGGAACUGGGUGAGCCAACUUAAUCCUUUGUCCCACAUGAAGAGAUGGGGCCAGGUGGCCUAGGUGUUCCAGGUGUUUUCCACAUUUCCACACAGUCAUGCCCCAAGCUCCUCUUCUCUCCUUCUCUUGCUCCAGGAAAACCUCUCCUGUUUUCUUCCACAUUUUGAUGUCUUCUUUCCUUAGGGCACCUCCAUUAUCCCUACAGAAAAGGAAGCCCUGGUAGACUCCUCCACUCUUCCUUUCUUUGACCCUAAAUGGCCAGGUGCUAAUGUUUGGAGUCUCCUUGGGGCCAGGUGGGGGUGUGAGUGGUGGAGGAUCAGGGAAGGGGAAGCAGAAAGGAGAAACUCUGGGGCUUUGCAGAUGGAUUUGGGAAAGACUAAGGGCUUCUGUUUCUGGGAGCUACUGGUUUCUCAUGAAAUAAAUUAAACUUCCUAUAUUAAUAAUGAACUUUCUUUAAAGAUCAUCCUAUCUGGGUUACACGAGAAGUUUGUAUCCCUUCUAAAAAACAUGGCUUGGACAGCCUCCCCCUUUUUGUGAAAUAAUAAUCCCAGCCUCUUUACACCAAUGGAGCAUUUGCCCCAGGUUUCAUUAUAGAAUGAAUUUCCCAAGUCCUUUAAUUCCUUAAUAUACAGAUAUGUAUAUAGGUAUAUUCUUAUGUAUGUAUGUAUGUAUUUAGAGUUAAAUUAUGGUUGGAAUAGUGUAUGUGGGAUAGUGUCAAACUGAAAAUUGAUAAUCUGGGCUUUUGGAAUUUAGGAGAAGGGAAAGGCUGGGUGAUUUGACGUGGACUUGUGAAAGGUGAGUUACAGGUUCUGAGGAAAUUUGGACAUGCAAAGGAAGGGUCAUUUUAGACAAUGAGAUGGAGAGGCAGACGUUUGGGCUUGACCGUGGGCACUUGGCGAGAAGAUAAUUUUGGUAAGGGCUGAAUGUGGGAAUUCGGGUCCAC
rnacentral:lncRNA from 1 species